ACCCGCUUAGCUCAAUGGUAGAGCGCCUGCUCGACACGCAGGAGACAUGAGUUCAAUUCUCUUAGUGGGUAC
rnacentral:tRNA from 8 species